GACCAGGAGGCGGCGCCCAUCCCUCCGGCUGCCCAGCCUGCAUGGUGCAACCUCUCGCCACCUCUCCAGACCCCUGCGUCCUCGGGGACCCUGGAGAAACUUUGUCCCCUGCGAACUCAGCUGAGGAGCCAGGGAUGCAGUGGUCUUCCUUAACGUGGAAAAGGUGAAAAACAUUCCCAUUCAGACUCAACAUUUUCAUCAUCCUUAAGGAUGUGGGAAACUGCUGCAAUCCAACACAAGCUGCAAUCAGAGGUUGAGAGAGAACAUCUCAGAAGAGGAGGCAGAGAGUCGUAGGAGCUGAAGAACAGGGAGAAAUGCUGUGAUCUGCUUCCCCUGCAUAUGACGGGGCCAUGGUGAUCAAGACCACACAGCAGCUGCGCCUACCUAAAAAAGGUGGAGGGAAGCUGGGUGGGUCAGCAGGAGUGGGGAUAAGGAAGGGUAACAGGGGUGAGUGUGAUCACGUGUGAAAUCGUCAAAAAGAAAAAGGCAAUGUACAUUUGCCCAGAUCCAUCCAACUGUCCAUUGUUUUCCAAGGCUUUGGGGGUACAAGCUAAUCACCUGUGUUUCUUGGAAGCCAUAACAAGCAUAAUUUGAACAACCACUUAAUUCUCAUGAAUGAUAAAGCCAUUUGUUUUCUUAAUUAAGUUAGCAUCACACGGCCUGAGGUGGAAAGAUGAAUCUGUGUUGACAUCAGAGUCAAUCAUAAGUCAUUGUUUCUAGAAGGGAGCUCUAUGGAGCAAACUCUAGUCCACAGCACUUCCUGUAGACCCUGUGACCCUAGGAACUGUGGAG